rnacentral:RNase_P_RNA from 1 species
GUCGGACAGUUUGUCGCUUGCGGCUUUAUGCCUCAAGAGGAAAGUCCGGGCAACACAGGGCACCUUGCUUCCUAACGGGAAGAGGUUCGUGAGAGCCUGUCAGUGCAGAAGAAAACAACCGCCGUCGUUUGCUGACGGUAAGGGUGAGAAGGUGGGGUAAGAGCCCACCAGGCGCAUGGCGACAUGCGUGCUGUGCACUCCGAGGGUUGAAAGUUCGCGUAAACCGACGUCUGAAGGUGGUCCCGCCUGAGCAACUUGUUGCACGUCGGAGGGUAGAACGAUAGAGCCAUACGGCGACGUAUGGUGUAGAUAAAUGACAAACACGCACGCUAUUGUGCGUACAGAACCCGGCUCAUCGUCCGACUGA